GGUAGUGUGGCCGAAAGUGGUCUAAGGCACUGGAUUGAGGCUCCAGUCUCUCAGGAGGCGUGGGUUCAAAUCCCACCACUGCCA